AACGCACCUUGCACCCUUUGGCAUUCCGAAGGGUAUGCUCGUUUGAGUGUCAUUGUACUCUCACACUCUCUGAUCCUUUGGAUUCAGGGAGCGGUGGACUUGGGUGUUGCUGCUUUUCCUUGUGGCUCACCUCAAAUGUGUUAGUGCACCUCUUGGUUGGACAUAGAACGGCGUGAUAAGUGUCUUCGCCGGCACCUCGCAAGAGGGUGGCCAAUUGGGAGCUCUGUGCUUUCAAACCGUCUUCGGACAAUCUCUGACAACUUGACCUCAAAUCGAGUAGGACUACCCGCUGAACUUAA
rnacentral:misc_RNA from 1 species